AUGAAUUUCCCUUUAUAAUUACUAUUGAUCCUCUCUUAUCACAUAAGCCCUGAUCUUCUUCUUGUUUAUUUGAUCCAUCAUCGAUGGAUCCUCCACCUGCACCAGUCAUCUACAUUUGUGGAGGUUGUUCGCAGGAGACUACGUUCGACAUUAAUAGUCAGCAUCCUCCAAAGUGCGAGAAAUGCAAGCGUUGUACGAUUCUUUACAAGAAGCGCACUACCAAACCUGUGUAUGAAGCCCGUUGAAGACACCGGGAAUAGAUGAGCAGACCCGUCGAGAUAUUAUUCUGUUUGGUAGAAGUUAAUUAGUAUAAUCAAUGGAAAGAGUUAUUUACUGAGCCUAUAUAUUAUGUAAUUGACUUUAUAAAAACUAUUAUGUAAUUUAAGAGAUAUUAUUCUGUGUUAUAUCCUAAGGUUUUUCAAUUCAA